UACAGAGGGUGCAAGCGUUAAUCGGAAUUACUGGGCGUAAAGCGCACGUAGGCGGUUUUUUAAGUCAGAUGUGAAAGCCCCGGGCUCAACCUGGGAAUUGCAUUUGAAACUGGGGAACUAGAGUGUGUGAGAGGGGGGUAGAAUUCCAAGUGUAGCGGUGAAAUGCGUAGAGAUUUGGAGGAAUACCAGUGGCGAAGGCGGCCCCUUGGCACAACACUGACGCUCAGGUGCGAAAGCGUGGGGAGCAAACAGG
rnacentral:rRNA from 1 species